AAUCAACGCUGGCGGCGUGCCUCAGACAUGCAAGUCGAACGAUUAAGACUUCCUUCGGGAAGUGCAUAAAGUGGCGCACGGGUGAGUAACACGUAAGUAAUCUACCUUCGAGUGGGGAAUAACAUCGGGAAACCGAUGCUAAUACCGCAUAAUGCAGCGGCAUCGCAAGAUGACAGUUGUUAAAGGAGCAAUUCGCUUGAAGAGGAGCUUGCGUCAGUUUAGCUAGUUGGUAAGGUAAUGGCUUACCAAGGCUACGAUCUGUAUCCGGUCUAAGAGGACGGUCGGACACACUGGCACUGAAUAACGGGUCAGACUCCGACGGGAGGCAGCAGUCGGGAAUUUUGGGCAAUGGGCGAAAGCCUAACCCAGCAACGCCGCGUGAGGGAUGAAUUAUUUCGGUAUGUAAACCUCGAAAGAAUGGGAAGAAUAAAUGACGGUACCAUUUAUAAGCUCCGGCUAACUACGUGCCAGCCGCCGCGGUAAUAC
rnacentral:rRNA from 1 species